UACGGAGGGGGCUAGCGUUGUUCGGAAUUACUGGGCGUAAAGCGCACGUAGGCGGCUUUGUAAGUUAGAGGUGAAAGCCCGGGGCUCAACUCCGGAAUUGCCUUUAAGACUGCAUCGCUAGAAUUGUGGAGAGGUAAGUGGAAUUCCGAGUGUAGAGGUGAAAUUCGUAGAUAUUCGGAAGAACACCAGUGGCGAAGGCGGGUCACUGGACAGUUCCUGACGCUGAGGCACGAAGGUCAGGGGAGCAAACGGGG
rnacentral:rRNA from 1 species